rnacentral:lncRNA from 1 species
ACUUUUCUAACCACCUAAGGAUCCAUUACCCCAACAUCAGUAAGAGGAACCGUUGUAACUUUAAUUUCAGGUUUCACUUAGUCGGUAAGUGGUUGAGUAGCUUUUCCGCCUUUUCCGCUAUGGGCUAACGCAAUCCUUGACGUCGCAGUCAGGUGAGAAGCUAGGUAUUUUGCUCAGAGAGCACAAUGCUAGAGGACUAGCUAAUG